UGUGUGGUAAUUCUUAGUACAUUUGGGUAAAUGAAUCUUAUCUUUGUGCCGCAUAAGCAUCUCUAUAAUUCAACACAUCCUGAGCCACGACAUUAUAUAUUUUAUGAAUCGCAUGCGCUUCUUUUUAUCACAAUCCAGACCGGCUAAUAACCGUUGUAUAACUUUACAUGUCUGAAGACGAAUAUUUGCGUGAAACAUUUUUGUAUGAUUUUUAUUUCUGGAAAUCAAUCUGAAAUCUACAACAGUCCAUUUCCGAAAGUCGGGCUGGACCUUUGCUUUUAUGUGCAUUCGGGAUUUACACAAAUUGUAACCCGAAUAAUUCAGUCGUAUUUUUCAGCUGAUGUACGAAUGCUACAUUUCUCGUGUGGGAGAAAAUCGGACAUGGAAAGGGCUUGAAUUAUUCGAGUUACUCAAAUUGAAACUCGGGAAUAUAUUUCUAGCUGUUCGGAAUUCGCUGAAACAAAUUUUCGGCAUUACGGUAUUGAAUCAAUAGAGAUACCAAUUAUUCUUUUAACAAAUUCGAAUACCAGUCAGUUUAUAGGACUUCAGUUUGAAAUAGGGGUGGCAAUCCAUUCGUUUUAUCCAAUCAAUUGGAAAAGGGGGGGGGGGGUCAACAUUGAUAGUCAAAAAGCCUUGAAAUAUUCGAUAAAAAAACGUUGAAUGAAAUAUGAACUCCAAAAUCUCAUAUUAUAAGACUAGUAAACCACAGGCUUCUCAAUUCUUGUAUGAUAAUGAACUAGGUGAAAACCUAGAGCUGACCGAGUGCGAGAUCUCAUGGAUAAUCAUCGAGGUCGUUAAACACCCCUUGCAGUAAACUUUGGUUAAAUUUAAAAAAAAAAAUCGAAAUGUAAUAGUCUGAACACAUUUCACCGCUCAUUCCACUAAAUAUUAAAUUGCAGUUACAAGUAUCACAAAACUUCCCUGACCUCUUUUCUUUAACCAUAAUAGAGGGAGGAGGGGAGGAGGGAUCCAGAUAUUGAAAUCCCAGGCUUAAAAACACGAAAUCCGGCGAGGUCCCGAAUUAAAAAAAAAUCAAAUCCCGACUACCCGAAAUUCGGAAAUAGAAUUCCCGGAUCCCGGAGUUCCGAUAAAGGUCCUACACCCUAACCCCCCCCCCCCUCGUAAUUCUAUAUUCUAUUCAUUCUUAAUCUUGAAUUGAGACUUGAUACUUCAAAAUUACAUUCUCUAAUUUUGAAUGAUGCACACAGGCACAAUAAAAGAAAACAGAUUUCGCUAUAUAUCUCUUCGAAAUUGGAAUUUGUGAAAGAAGAAAUGACAUGUUAUAUUUUAUCUUACAUGUGUACUUUCAAUUUCAAUAUGGUUCUAAAUUUAGAUUUAAUUUUCCCAUAAAUUGCGGACGGAAUAGAAGACACCUGUUUAUUUUCUGCACAUGUAGAAAAAGUUGAAAACUGGGAGUUGAAUGACAUAAUUUUUACUUAUUUUAAGAUAAAUGUUAGAAUUUUUCAAGUUACUGAGUAAUUUUUGGGGCAUAAUUUGUUUAUUUUUUGUUUGUUUUCCGUCUUUGUUCUUCCAACUUGUAAGUGUUGCACUAGUGAUCAAAUUAUUUUCUUUGUAUCGUCUGAUUUCUUAUAUGAAUAUAAGUCAUGUCCUUAAAUUUUCAAUUGCACAAAAUACGAACAUUUCAACGUCUUUUUGAUUAAACAAUUAAAUUUACACGUCUUUCAUUAAUUAUUUGUAACCUAUUAUAAAAC
rnacentral:lncRNA from 1 species